rnacentral:rRNA from 1 species
GUAACACGUGGGCAACCUACCUUGUAGAUUGGGAUAACUCCGGGAAACCGGGGCUAAUACCGAAUAAACCAUUUUGCUUCAUGGCAAGAUGUUGAAAGGCGGCUUCGGCUGUCACUACGAGAUGGGCCCGCGGCGUAUUAGCUAGUUGGUAGGGUAAUGGCCUACCAAGGCGACGAUACGUAGCCGACCUGAGAGGGUGAUCGGCCACACUGGGACUGAGACACGGCCCAGACUCCUACGGGAGGCAGCAGUAGGGAAUCUUCCACAAUGGACGAAAGUCUGAUGGAGCAACGCCGCGUGAGUGAAGAAGGUUUUCGGAUCGUAAAACUCUGUUGUAAGGGAAGAACACGUACGAGAGUAACUGCUCGUACCUUGACGGUACCUUAUUAGAAAGCCACGGCUAACUACGUGCCAGCAGCCGCGGUAAUACGUAGGUGGCAAGCGUUGUCCGGAAUUAUUGGGCGUAAAGCGCGCGCAGGCGGUUCUUUAAGUCUGAUGUGAAAGCCCACGGCUCAACCGUGGAGGGUCAUUGGAAACUGGAGAACUUGAGUACAGAAGAGGAAAGCGGAAUUCCACGUGUAGCGGUGAAAUGCGUAGAGAUGUGGAGGAACACCAGUGGCGAAGGCGGCUUUCUGGUCUGUAACUGACGCUGAGGCG